UACGUAGGGUGCGGGCGUUGUCCGGAAUUAUUGGGCGUAAAGAGCUCGUAGGCGGCUUGUCGCGUCGGAUGUGAAAGCCCGGGGCUUAACCCCGGGUCUGCAUUCGAUACGGGCAGGCUAGAGUUCGGUAGGGGAGAUCGGAAUUCCUGGUGUAGCGGUGAAAUGCGCAGAUAUCAGGAGGAACACCGGUGGCGAAGGCGGAUCUCUGGGCCGAUACUGACGCUGAGGAGCGAAAGCGUGGGGAGCGAACAGG
rnacentral:rRNA from 1 species